rnacentral:lncRNA from 1 species
AUUGAACCACUGAAUGAGAGUUCAAGUUACCAGGUUGUUCCUUGCAAACUAACAGGAGACAUUGAGUGGGAAGUAUACAGUACACCUGCCAUGUUCAGAGUGUGAUGAACUGAGUUCAUCUCUUGAGUGUCACCAGAAGUGUCAUGUGUACAAAGGUUAUGUAAUCCAAUGUUUUAUUUUUAGCUGUGACAUUUAUUGGAAGUAUUGUGAUUUCAAUUGAAAGUGUUCAGAUUCUCACUUGAAGUAUUUUUCUAACUUUUGAAAUUUUCAUAUAACCCAAGUGAGUGUUAUAUAAAUUUUGUUUAUAUGUGUAUGUUAUGUUAUGUUAUUAUUUUUUCUUUUGCUAGUGAACUGAAUUGUGAAAUAACUAGAAAGUUUUAAUUCUCAGUUGGAGUCAAUUUGUUACCAUUGAAUUUAUUGAGAUAACACAAGUUUGGUGUUAAAUUUUUCAGUGUUGUAAUUUUCAACCUGUUUUUUUUUACAGAGAAUUUUAUUACAUACUGUCUUACCAUUUCUUACAGUGUAGACUGAUAUGCAUUGUUGGUAAAGAGGUUAUAUGUAUUUGAGAACUAAUUCCGGUGUAUUUUCAGCCAUAGUAUUGAUUGGGUUGAGGACUCGGUGGUGAAAUGGACAUCUAAGACAUACAAUCUCUGAACAUGGAUUGCUGGAAACACCCUCUGUACAUGUAAGGACCACCAAUUGUGAGUAAAGCACAGAGUAAAUUGUGUAGUGUAAACACAGUGUCAAGACAUUUGAAAAAGACAGUGAAUUCUUGUGAGUACAGAAAAUCCGCUUAGUGUUUAUCAUUCGUGAAAUCUACAGAGUUAUAUUUUCUUGAGACAUUCUCGUCAAGUACCAUCAAGUAUUUUAUUUUGAGCAUUGCUAUGAGUACUGUGUGAAUUGAAACCUUGUAGUGUUGUCUUUAGAGAUACUUAAUCUGCUGAGUGAGUCACCCAUACUAUUACUGGCUUUAAAUUUUUUUUGGGUGAGUAUCCAUUUAAAAGGUAUCCGAGGCAUUUAUGUGUUAACGUUUACCUCCUUUGCUCUGGAAGGGUGUUAAUUGAAUUUAUCUUUGGUGGGGUUGUUUUGUGGAAGAUUUGUUGUGACAUCAGCGCACGAUGAUCACAGUAGUUGUGAAUAAGUUACAACUUAUGUGUGAGUUCCGAGAACUUGCCAAAGCCAUGGAGGCCAGCAUUCAUCGGCGGGGAACGCCGAAGGCUCGGAGGGGUAGUGAGAAAAUCAAGUUUAGAGAUUUUCCAUCGGGAUCAGAACCUGAUGAAAGGAAAACUGCCGGUGAGGCUGAGGAAGCUAGUUGUUAUCAUCGGUACUAGACUUCGGGUGAGAAAGGAGGAAAUCAGUGAUUUGAAUAGAUCUUUUGUUAAGUAUGCUUAGACUUAUCCAACUUAGAUAAAUUAGUAGAGAGAGUGUCAAGCAAUGAAUAGUAUUCUACCUUAGACUUGAAAGACGCAUAUGAUUAAAGUAAUACUUAACGACAAAAGUCGAGACCUAACCACAUUUAGUGAUGGAAUAUAACUUAUGAAGGUUUACACGCUUAUCUUUUGGGUUUUUUCAACCAGUCCCGUUAUUCUUUUUAUUAUUUUUACCAGAGAAGUAAACCAAGUAGUAACCCCUUUUGCAGCGAAGAACCGAGUUGAAUGUAACUACCCCGAUAAUGUCAUAGUGUGGACUAAUGAUUUUUCAACCUUGUCAGACAGGUUAGCUAGAGUAUUGAGAAAGUCCUUCCAGUGUUUCCCCUUUCAUACAAUUGCCAGUGGGAAGGUGUAGUUGUGCAGUUUUGAUUGGUACAGGCGGUGCAGUGCAGUUGGUUUCUUUAAGUUUUGUUAGUACUUUAGGCGUAGGGCCCCUUAGGCCUUGUAAGUACCCAAUAUGAAGAUGUUACCGGAGAUGAGCUGAAUGUGAAAAGCACUGUAGUAGUAAAAGUAAAUGCUACCACCUGAUGAUUCUGCCGUCAAGGGCAUCUACAUCUUGUUGAGAUGUGUUAAUGAUGAACAUCAACUGUUGGCUUCGCCAGUCAAGUGGCCAGAGUGACCCUGUUGGGGGAGGGAUUGUCAGUAUGUACCAUGGACAAGAGGAAUGAGUAGAUGUGUCUUACUGCAGUGAGAACAUCGUUUGGUGUGAGUGAUCAAGUUGCUUGGAGGUCCUAUCUGCAGUAGGCCUGGGUUAAUGUAGGAGGUAGUUGGGCUGGACUUUAGUCACGGCUAGGCGUGUACAAGAGUACAUGGGCCUAGUGCAGUUUAAGAAGCUUGCAUUGCAAAGUAACAGAAGGGCACUGAGGUUUUGGGGGUUUCAUGGGGACCGGGUCGCUGGCAUUAAAGUCUAUUUGAGUCCAUACUCUGGCCAUUCCGAUCUUGCCUCAUCCCGCGAGUGGAGAAUGGUUCUUUUGUGAUAAGGUCAACCCAAAUACUUCAGUGGCUGGAUGGGGUCAGUCUAACUAUUCCUAGCUUGAGAUCUCAAUUGUUGAAUUUUGAAGCUUGGGUCCAGUGUCAUCCUAGUGGAUGUUGUAGUUGAAAGUGUCCUACAAAGCUACCUGUCAUCCUAGUGGAUGUUGUAGUUGAAAGUGUCCUACAAAGCUACCUGUCAUCCUAGUGGAUGUUGUAGUUGAAAGUGUCCUACAAAGCUACCUGUCAUCCUAGUGGAUGUUGUAGUUGAAAGUGUCCUACAAAGCUACCUGUCAUCCUAGUGGAUGUUGUAGUUAAAAGUGUUAUACAUGUCUGAUCAAUUGCCAAGAUGGAAACUACCUGCCGUCCUGGUGGAUGGUGCAGUUAAAAGUGUACAAAACUGUAAUUCAGGCCGGCCUGUUAUUUUUAUUAUUAUGUUCUGUAAUAUUGAUGUAUGAUUAUGUUCUUCUGUGUGCCAUAACAAGUGGUGCUGUGUUCAUUUUAUCUGCCCUGGCUGGGAGUUUGUGUGAUUAGUCAACUGAGUUGCAAAAUUUUAUGUAUGUGAAAAUUAUGUAACCAUGUGUGUUGCCUGUAUUGAUGACCAUUACCCCAGUAUUGCAAGAUAUUGUGUUUUGAAAAUUAUGUAUUUACUGUGAAUGUUUUGUCGACUAUACCGCAUAAUAUUGAAUCUUGGGGAGGGGAAAGCUUUGUAAAGACCACGGUCGUACACGUCAGUUAACGCCAAAAUCAAAUGAUUCAUAUUACGCUCA